rnacentral:piRNA from 1 species
UGUUACUGUUUGAAACUGUGUGUAGAGG